AGACUUAUGGAUUGCAAAUCACAGAGAUGCAGAAUCGUGUUACUCCACAACAUUCCACGUGAAAUGCAUGUACUCGUGUUCUUCGAUCGAGAGAGGAAAACCUCCGCACCUCCUUCCUCCUGGAGAGACGUAGACCAAGUCACCUAAUUUUCUCUUUAAAUUUGCGACCAAGUGCCCCACUCCCUGGGUCUAACCUCAUCCGAUCUCUCGGUAUCUGUUCCUGCGCGUUCCAUGAUUCUAAGCCGACAAGCUGAACCUGAUGCAUAGUGUCGUUGAUGAAGGAAUCUAUCGAAUUUUGCACGCUCAGCAGGCUUUCCUUGGCAUCGUCGAAUGCCUUUGGUCCACCAUUCUUCUUGCACUUGUCGAUUACGGCUUGCUUGACGGCCUCAUCAUAAUUAUUCAAAUGGUCCAA